CACGGAGUUAGCCGAUCCUUAUUCUUCUAGUACAUUCAGCUACUUACACGUAAGUAGGUUUAUUCCUAGAUAAAAGUAGUUUACAACCCAGAGGGCCGUCUUCCUACACGCGGCAUGGCUGGUUCAGAGCUGCCUCCAUUGACCAAUAUUCCUUACUGCUGCCUCCCGUAGGAGUCUGGUCCGUGUCUCAGUACCAGUGUGGGGGGUCAUCCUCUCAGAUCCCCUAGUCAUCGUGGUCUUGGUGAGCCGUUACCUCACCAACUAACUAAUGACACGCAUGCCCAUCUUAAUCCUAUAAAUAUUUGAUCAUUGUACGAUGCCGUACUGUGAUUUUAUGCGGUGUUAAUCCGAAUUUCUCCGGGCUAUCCCCCUGAUUAAGGUAGGUUGCAUACGCGUUACGCACCCGUGCGCCACUGUCAUAUCCAGCAAGCUGGAUAAUCUCGUUCGACUUGCAUGUAUUAGGCCUGCCGCUAGCGUUCAUCCUGAGCCA
rnacentral:rRNA from 1 species